rnacentral:rRNA from 1 species
GGGGAAUCUUCCGCAAUGGACGAAAGUCUGACGGAGCAACGCCGCGUGAACGAUGACGGCCUUCGGGUUGUAAAGUUCUGUUAUACGGGACGAAUGGUACGACGGCCAAUACCCGUCGUAAGUGACGGUACCGUAAGAGAAAGCCACGGCUAACUACGUGCCAGCAGCCGCGGUAAUACGUAGGUGGCAAGCGUUGUCCGGAAUUAUUGGGCGUAAAGGGCGCGCAGGCGGCGUCGUAAGUCGGUCUUAAAAGUGCGGGGCUUAACCCCGUGAGGGGACCGAAACUGCGAUGCUAGAGUAUCGGAGAGGAAAGCGGAAUUCCUAGUGUAGCGGUGAAAUGCGUAGAUAUUAGGAGGAACACCAGUGGCGAAAGCGGCUUUCUGGACGACAACUGACGCUGAGGCGCGAAAGCCAGGGGAGCAAAC